rnacentral:rRNA from 1 species
GACGAACGCUGGCGGCGUGCUUAACACAUGCAAGUCGAACGGAAAGGCCCUGCUCUUGUGGGGUGCUCGAGUGGCGAACGGGUGAGUAACACGUGAGUAAACUGCCCUUGACUUUGGGAUAACUUCAGGAAACUGGGGCUAAUACCGGAUAGGAGCUCCUGCUGCAUGGUGGGGGUUGGAAAGUUUCGGCGGUUGGGGAUGGACUCGCGGCUUAUCAGCUUGUUGGUGGGGUAGUGGCUUACCAAGGCUUUGACGGGUAGCCGGCCUGAGAGGGUGACCGGCCACAUUGGGACUGCGAUACGGCCCAGACUCCUACGGGAGGCAGCAGUGGGGAAUAUUGCACAAUGGGCGGAAGCCUGAUGCAGCAACGCCGCGUGCGGGAUGACGGCCUUCGGGUUGUAAACCACUUUCGCCUGUGACGAAGCGUGGGUGACGGUAAUGGGUAAAGAAGCGCCGGCUAACUACGUG